AGGAAACAGGAAGGACUUCAUGGGAAAGGGUCAUUAACAGUUUCGUAGGAGAAUGGCCCCUUCCUUUCUUUUGCUUUCAGUUUUCAGUUUCAGAGCAAGUAAAGUUCUGCAGGAACAAGACCUAACCCCGACGCUGGUAGGAAAGGAACUGAACAUAUUAACCGGACUGGUCCACAAUGCAUACAGCUUUCGGUUCGAAGGAAGUCGGUCAAGGAAGAGGGACUGAAUGCACCCAAAACCCAACAGCUUGGAAUUCUAUAUAGAUCAGAAAGCCAAACAUGUCAAAUAACUUCCAGAACAUAACGGGGACGCUCAUUUGACCGUUUCAAUAUAUCUACGGUCGCAUGGGAAUUUUCUCUCCCCCCCUCCCAAGUUGUUUCAUCUUGCUCGAUCAAGACUUUAUUGUAGGGACAACCACAAUCCCCUAACCUCCCCAAGGCGAAAAGAGUGGGCCAGAAACUAGACAGCGAUCCAUGGAACCUGUGGGCUGUUUGCCGCUCAUCCAUGCUUGAACAGUAAGCUUUCUUUCUUUGGAAAUUUACAUUUUCUUUCCUACAUCAGCUUUUUCUUCUGCUUGAAGGAGUCCUUCUUCACAGUUGGGAAAGGAGCGGUUCCCUCCCCACCUCAGCACAUGGCUGCUGGCUGCCCAGUGCCCAGUGAAUUAGCUCUAAUAAUUUCUGUGGGGAUUAAUUAACUAAUUGCUAAUGACUUGGGGGAGAAAUGCUAUGUUUUUGCAUGUCAGGAUGCUGUUCGUGACCAACACAACCGCUCUGCGAGGGGCUUGACAGGAUGCAUUUGCUUGGCGAGAUGACGGCCAAUCCAAAUUUGUUUGUGAUGAUUCAUAGAACAGUUGGUGGCAGUCCCUUCCAGAGUUUUCUUCUGAAGUUUGUGCUAGCAGAACUUUAAAAAAAAAAAAAAAAAGAUCGGGGUGUUCACAGUACUUACCAGUUCAGGCUGAAAAACAUGUUCCUGAAAGAUUAUUGAUAAACCAGUUGAAUUCA